GGGGAUGUGGCACUGAGGGAUGUGGGCAGUGGGCAUGGUGGGGGUGGGCUGGGAUUGUGCUGGGGUCUGAGAGGUCUUUUCCAACCAUAACGGUUCUGUGGUUCUAUGAUUCUAUGGCACUGCUUUGGACACGUGCUUGCAAGCGCCGUUGUGUGUUAUGUGGCUGUCCACAGGUUUUAUACUGUUGAUGCUAAACUAUAUAUAAGCAUACCCCAAAGUAACAGUGCACACAUCCAGCUUUAGAUUGUUUUCAUGGAUUCUCCACCUUGAAUAGCAGCAGUUCAAUGUGUGGAAAAUAAGUCAUGCAGGGGAGAUGGGACAGGCUGAUAUCUAUGCUCCUGAGUGUGGAUCCACAAACUCAGCAGUGGCUCUGGGUUUUUGGUGCAUGAGCCUAAUCCCAGUCCUGGAGCAGGGUCACAUGUGGGUAACCAGAGCAUUAUGAGCUCUGAGAUCAGUGCUAGAGGAGGAUUCGGGUUAGGGUUGGAGUUGAGGUUAGGGUUUGGGUUGGGGUUAGAGAUAGGAUUAUGGUUAGGGAGAGGGAUAUGGUUAGGGUUGGGGUUAGGAAUAGGGUAAGGGAUAGAGUUAACCUUAGGGUUAGAGUUAGGGUUGGGAUUAGAGUUGGGAUUUGUGUUAGGGUUAGGGUUAAGCUUAGGUUUGGGGUUAGAGAUAGGGUAAUGGUUAGAGUUGGGAUUAGGGAUAGAGUUAGGGUUAGAAUUAGUACAGUGUUAGGGUUAUGGUUAGUGUUAGGGUUGGGGGUUUAGUCUAGUUUUUUGGGUUAGGGUUAGAGUUAGGGAUAGGACAAGGGUAAUUUCCUUGCUGUGUCUUUUGGAAAUCUGCUAUCCCGAGGUAGGGCUAUGCCCUCCUGGUUAUUUGUCCCCCAUCACCUGCACCAGAGCUGGGAACUGCCUGGAAGAUAGAGGGAGGGCUGGGCCAUAGUGCUGCUCACAGUGAUCCUCCCCUGACCCUCAGACUGUGUGUUUCCUGGCAUGGCACAGCAGGCUGUGAUUCACAGGGCAGAGCCCAUGUAAGGCAAAAAGAAGAGCUUGAGGUUUAUUGCCCUUUUUGAAUUCCACAUUCUUAAAAUGAUAAAAAUGCAGGCUCGUUAUUUUCUGGGUUGGCAACAGAGCUCUCCUGGAUACAUCUCAUUCUGAGUCUGCAUUCGUGCAGAUCAGCACUGCCAGGCACUGACUGUCUUGACAAAGAGCAACUUCCAUUCAAGGUUCCAUUCCAUAUGUCACCCCUGGGCAGGGAAGCUGUCAUGGCAAACGUAGCUGUGUCAUUGCAGCGUCAGGACAGUUACAGAGUGGAUAUGACUCAGUGUCACCCAGGGAGGACGAGGAGGGCUUACAUCCACACCCUGGGCUGUCCCCAUUGGACAUGGCAGCGAGCAGAUGCUCAUCUCUAGGGACAGCAAACUGUCAUCACUGUUCCACACAAAUUUUUACCCCCAUUAGCCAGGCAAACAGUGCUACGUGCAGCUUAUGACUACAUCAACCCUCUUUUUUCUCCCUCUUUCCGCAUUGUGAACACAGAGCAGUUGGUGUGACUUUCUUCCCUCUUCGUUUGUUUGCCAAAUGUUUUGUGCAAACAGAACGUGGUUCUUGUGUCGUCCGCAACAUUUUUCCAUGCUUAUUCACAAGGUGUGUGCCGGGCAAGGUGCGCAACUGGUUUGCUGAAAUCAAUGACACUAUUUCUGCUUGUUGGCCAGCAUCCCAGAAGCAGCUAUACCAGCAUCUUUAGCAUAGAAGUUUGGCUUGCUUUUUGCUUUUUUUGCAAAGGACAGUCAUGGUCCUACAAAUAAAAACCCCGGACAGCUUCUUCCGCAGAUGCACAUGCACACGGAUUGCAAGCAUCAGGAGGAUCUUCAAAGAGAACAGACUUCAGAAAUCAUCGAAAGAUUUAUGGUUCUGUACUGUUUGAGCAUCUGUUUGCAACCUGGGAGCAGGAACGGUGCCAUACUGUGCUCAAGACAUGGUCCUUUUCAAGUGCACAAUGGUAUUACUGCUAUGGGCCAUGCUUGCUUGAACAGGUUAACGUGAUCAGCAUGACAGAGGAGAAUCUGGGAGAUGACACCCCCUGGGAGAAACUGCAGGCGUGUUGCAACACGGGGUUUGGGUUCAGAACGAUCUUGGCAAAUUGGAGCAACGGUCUGAACAAACAGACCUCGAUUCAGCAGGGAUGAGCACCUGGUGCUGUAGGCACACAGUUGCACAAGUAAGGCACAGGAGGCAACGUUUGGGCAGCAAGGAGGAAAAGUGAGAAGUGGUGGGACGUGAGUGAGUUCAGAGUGCUGCAUUUCUGCAAACUCGGUGACACUUCUGGCUGUGUAAGCAGAAUUCCAACCUUGCCGUGCCAUCCUGGUGCAGAUGGGGUGCACAGCACUUCAGAGGCAGUUGGGAGCAUUCAGCCUGCUCACACACAGUGCAGGCAGGAAAGGCGAUGCAGCCUCAGCCCAGCUGCAGCAAAUUCCUGCCUGGAUAAAUCAGGCAGCAGGCUCAGAGUUUCCAUUGCUGCUAAUCCAUGCCCAGCCCCGGGUGCAGCUGCCUGCUGAGAUUAGCUCCAGGAUCAUGCCCUGACCUUUACAUCCCCUCUGCAGCCAUUCACUGCAGUGUUUGAAAAUUCCUAUGUUUGAGCACCUGAACGCACCUAGAGGCCCAAAGUACCCAUUGCAUGGCAUCCAUAGCCAGGGAUGAUUGCAGUGAUGACUUCAGAAACCACUAUCAAUUGCACAGCAACCUCAGCUGAAGAACUCCUGUGUCUCUUCACCAAGGGAUGCGACUCCAUUUUUUGGAUGAUUUAAAGAGAAAAUAAAGACAGGAGUGCAGAAAUUUAAACCACUGGGAAAGCGUGUGCUCCCACCUGGGAAUGCAGCCCAGCAGCCUCACAGUGGACCAUGUUGGACUUCAUGUCCUGUGCCUUAUUCUCAGGGGGAGCGGUGGUGUAGGGUUCCCUCCAGAAAAGGAUGAAGGUCCACCUUUACAUGAGUUUAUUUUCUACUUCUUCCUGCUUGCCUUGAGUGGAGUCUAUUUCUGCCCUCUGUGCUGAGAAUGGCUUCAACUGGAAGCUUUAUUUUUGUAAGAGAAAGCUUGGAGUACCCAAAAGCACCUGCCAGAAUCACUGGGAACCCUUCCCAUUCCUUAUCUCACAGCAUUCCCAGCUGGCUUUCCCACUUCCCCGCCCCACUGAACUCUUAGUGGAUGACAAGCUCUGGAUGCUCAGAGGUUGUGCGCUCAAUGUGCACCAACCCAGUGGCAUAAGGACAGCACAGUGACAGCAGCCUUCCUGGUGCAGGAGUUGUGCUCAUGGAGGCACAUUUCUGGCCUGCAGCCCAUCUGGUGGGCUCCAAGCCCACAUCUGUGGGAUUUCCCGUUAUCCUGCAGCAACCACCAAGCUUUGCUGCAGGGCAUCUUGUUAGUUUCCCACCUUCCUUCUUUGUUUGCAGUCUUGGAUAUACCACAGGCAUCCCAGUAACCAGGUCAAUAUGCUGUACUCAUAAUGCAGCAUAGGAUCUUCGGGAUCAGUGCACUGCAGAGUAGAGAGAUAUCAUAGCUAUGGGAUUGACCAGUACUAUCAAUAUAUGGUACCAGUGCCAUACAUCUCCAUGUAUAUGACACGAAAAUAAUGACACAGGUGCUGUGAUGAAAUCCAUGACAAUACUUUUGUUCCAAACCACAUCACGGUCCAUUUUCCAAUGUUCAAUCCCAAUACAUUUUCCUCCUUGCUCCAUUUCCUCCUUGCUUAGCAGGUAUCACAGGGUUGGAUGACACAGGGGAUGCACCAUGGUGGGUCCCCCAUCCCUGGACUUAAGGUCAGGCUGGACUGGGCUAUGAGCAGCCUGAUUGAGCUGUAGGUGUCCCUGUUCAUUGCAGGGGAGUUGGGCUAGAUGGUCUUAAAAGUCUCUUCCAACUCAAACUGUAGUAUUCCACUCCAUUCCAUUCCAUUCCAUUCUAUGGAGAUCAACAUGGCCACUGGAGGCAUCACCCUGCCGUGCUCACCUCCCAACCCACGGCUACUUCCCAGCACCUGCACCUUCACACGGAGCAGCACCAGCAACACAGAAAGGGGCCACUCAUGGCUGCAAUGCGUGUUCCCCUUUGCAGGAUAUAUUUUCCAAGCAAAAUGCAAAUGCCUUUCACAUAUAUAACGUCUGCAGGCAGGAGCGCAGCAGAGCUGGAUUUAGUCACACAGCUCUCCCCAUGUGUCACCACCAAAAGGUCACUGCGUCUCUCCUUACCCCACUGGCGCAGUGCCUGACAGCGCGGGCGGCAUUAUAUAACGCGGCCUUCUCAGAGCUCUGAGCUCUGCAGACGUGCCUCCCGUCAUUACUUCCUGCAAGCAAACAGCCCCGGGGGCUCUGCAGAACCCAAGAGCCUCAGAAACCCUCAGUGCUGCUGCUUGGUUGCUCCCUGCGUGCACCACACUGCUGCAAAGACAACUCUCUGCUGCUCAUAGUGUUCCUCCUUUGACCUCUGUUGGUAUCAAAGCUUGGAGCUGGUCAGCUGUAAAAAGAGCAGUGCUGUCUGUCUGGGAUGCUGCAAAGCUUGCAGAGAGAGUGGGGCAAUGUGGGAGUUGGUGUGAUGGGUCUGGAUGCAAUGGCCAUUGCAGCAGCCAUAUGCACUGUGUUGUCACCUCUUGGUCUUGCCAAGCUCUGCAGCAUGACCUUGUCCUUGUCCAUCUCAUAGCAGAAUCUUUCCCCUCUAAGCUCCCAAAAUAGAACCAUUAAGGGUGGAAAAGACCUCAAAGAUCAAGUCCAGCUGUCAACUCACCCCCACCAUGCCCACUGCCCACAUCCCUCAGUGCCACAUCCCCACAGUUCUGGAACACCCCCAGGGACGGUGACCCCACCGCUCCCUGGGCAGUGUGUGCCAAUGCAUCGCCUCUCCAUUGGAGUAUAAAUUGUUCCUAAUAUCCAACCUGACCCUCCCUCAGUGCAGCUUUAAGGCCAUUACCUUUUCACUCUGCAUCCAGUGGGACCUCAGCCAUGGAUGCUGAUGACAGGACAGAGACGGCCCCAUGACGUGGCUGCAUUGGGGCUACAUAACUGCUCCCAUUCCCAAGACCCGGACCAACCCAUGGGGUGGAGAACGCCCGCUCAGUGCAAACCCUCGGAGUGCUUUGUUCCAAGCAAGGAAAACAAACAUUUAACUUCUUAAUUAACAUCCUUCAACUCUCAAACAAGCCAAGCAAUUAUUCCUUCUAUAUGUCACUCACUCUAAUGACUGGUUAAUAAUAAAAGCCAUGCUGGUCUGCAGUCUUCAAAGCCAGGAAGUAGAUUUUAGAGUUAAUCUCCUUUCACAACAAGCUUCAAAACAUGUCUGUGUUUAUUCUGGGACAAAACCAUUGGGAACGAAUAGGCCUGAACAGGGCAAGCCAUUUUUUUUUUUCUGUACGUAAUUUUUUUCUAUAUCCUUAUUGAGAAAUAUGUAUAAGAGAGGAAAGUGCUUUGAAGGCAAGGCUGCAAGGGAACAGCAGGGCUUUGAGCAAUGAGUUUUGAGCAAUGAGCUCUGAAAGCAAGAGGAUUCCAGCAGCUGGUGCACCAUCAGCCUUGCACCAUGCACUUGUCUCAUUUGAACCAAGGUUCAAGCCCAUCAGCCUUCCCUGCAGGGUGACCCUUAUGUCCUCAGCCUUCCCUGAGCAGUGCUUUGGGCAGUUGCUGCGCAGGGGUAGCUGAGCACGAGCAGUGCUAAACUUCUGCUAGGCUUCUAUCUGCCCACCUUGGCCCCAGGGCUAUGAGUCCUUCUCCAAGCCAUGGCCAUAAGCCUGUUUCCUGGUAAGAGCUGGAGCGUCUCCUGGUACCAGACCAUCCUUUUGCUGGGGCGAGGUGCAGGGUGCAGGACAUGUCCUGGGCCUGUCCUGGUAGGAUGUGGGCAGCUCAGCAUCCGGAGCCAGCAGCGAGCAUCAAAGUGCUCUGAGUCACUCCAGGGAGAGGCUUCUCACCCAUAAUUGUGUUUGUCUUCAAGGACUGCUGUGUCCUUUUCCCAGCUCUCAGCAUCUCUGUGCCUUAAGCACUGUUUCCCAGAAACUUAGCCCAGAGCACCAGAGACAUCAAAGUGAGGGAGCACUGUAAUCCGUGAUGUUUCUGUGAGUCCAGAGUGGGGAAAACAAGAAAAAUUCCUUCUCCCAAAAGAUGUGGCAAUGUGAGCAACGGGAGAGGAGGAACAGUUUGGAGGGAUGUGGAACAAUCAUUAAACCUCGGUCUUUCCAAGCGAGGAGUUGGGUGCUCAAAGAUGGCUGAUUACUUGGAAAAGAAAAGGAAGUGAGUGGAAAUCAAAAAGAAAUGGUUACACUCAGCAGAAGAUCAGGUCUGGACAUGCUGAAAGCAAGGAGAGGAGGUCAGAGAAGCCCAAACCCAUUGAUGGGAGAUGGUUUCUCACCUCCUGGGCAAUGACCCAGGCUCCAGCCCCAUUGUAGGCUCCCUAUGGAGGUGGCCUUCCCUCUCUGGCUCUGGGAUUUUUUCUUUUUACAGGGAUUAAUUGAACAUAUAUUGGUGGGUUUUGUUGUAAUGGGAGUUGCCAUGACAACUGCUACAGCUCUCCAGAAAAAAAUAAAUAUAUAGGAAGGUCUCAACUGUCACUGGGGCCAUCUGUCCUUUCCAUGGCGGUCAUUAUAAAGCCAUGUACAAACCUCCCUGAGCCAAAUCUUCAUUUAAGCCCAUGGAGAUAAAAGCGCUUGGUACGAUUUAUCAAAAAGCUCCUCUCUUGAAUCACUGUUUCUUUUCUCUGCACUGACAUGAUAAUUUCCUCUCUAUCGCUGCAAAUUAAAUUCUAAUGAGGAAGCUUCGCAUUUCAAUGUGAUGGAAAGCUUCUCCUCCCCAAGAUGUGCAGAAGCAUCAGGCUCACUGCGGAGGGAGAAGGGUGCAGAAGGAUGCAGCAGGAUGGGAACAGGGGCUGUCCAGUUGUGCUUUCUCUGUGACACUCCUACACAGAGGGCACCCCUCUGUCCCAGCAGCCUGAAUGGCCCUUUUGGCCCCAACUUUCCCAUCCUGAAGCCCCACAGGAGAAAAACAAUGAGGAAAAUGUGAAGGGACCCCCACUUGAAGGUUGGCAGAGCGUUGGCUUUAGUUUGGAUGCUCUCUGGGGGCAGGAGGGUCUUGCUUGAGGCAGAGGGUGGCUUCAGGGUUGACUCAAAACCACUUCUUCCAUUGGUCACUGCAAGCUUAUGGGGCCACAGAUUCCCCAUCUGAAUGGUUAGGGUGAGGGUUGUGGUUAGGGUAGACUUGGAGUUUUUGUUGGGGUUGGGGCUAGCACUGAAUUUAGGUUUGGAGUUAAGGUUAGGUUUAGGUUUACUUUCAGAGUUGGGAUUGUGUUUGGGGCUGGUGUUGGGAUUAGGGUUAGGGUUUGGGUUAGGGUGGAAUGGGGUGAGGGCUGGGUUUGGAGUUGGGGUUGGGCUGGAGUUUAACACUGGGGUUAGAGUUAGGGUUAAGAUUAGGGUUAGGGUUAGUCUUAGGGUUGGGGUUGAGGUUAGGGUUAGGGUUUGGGUUAGGGUUAGGAUUUAGCAUCAGGGUUAGGGUUAGGGUUAAGAUUAAGGUUAGG
ensembl:lncRNA